CCCCAACCCCGUUUCUAAGUUACAGAUGAUUUCUGGAAUGGCUGGGAUCAGGAUGCGUAUACCACAGCUGUAAGGCUUUACUGGUUCCGAUUCAUGACAUUUGUUACCUUGGAAAUGUGGGGAGUGGGUAGUCGUCUAUCGUUAAGUGGGAUAAAGCAUGUAAAAUACCAGGCACUGAAUAAAAGUGUGUUACCUUCUCUUUCAGGCACCGCCAUGGAGAAGAAGAUUAACUGGCAAUCAUUCAAACUAAUCAUUUCUUGGGUUCGUGGAAUCUGGAACCAGAGCGAUGGUUGGAAUGUGAAGAGCUUCUUUUAUACAGCUGAGCCUGAUAGCUGGAGGAGUCUAGACGUAUAUCAGAAGAAAGGAAAAAUUAAUAGGAAAUGACUAGAUUUUACACCCGAUCGUUUGGAACAUUCCAAAACCAAGAGAAGCCUUUCUUGUCACACGUGAUUUCAUGAUAAUUAGGGCCAGCUGUGUCUGGGCAAUUCAGGUCAAGCCAGAUGCCAAACCCAACUGGAACACUUACAGGAAGAUCCUCAUCGUCAAGAACCUCCAAACAUCCUGUAGAAAAUCGAAAGAAGCAACAGCAGCAGCAGCAGCAGCGAAUCCUUUCAAGAAAGAGGACACUCGCUGGGCAGAAGCGUGUUGGAAUGUGAGUAAACACACAGAGGGCCUCAGAAACCUAGAGAGCAGCAGCGGUCAGGGGGCUGCACACAAGCCGAAGCCACCGUCCUCUGUGAGGAUCGGUCCCCGCUGCUGCAGAAUGUGCACAGGUCACUGCCAACCCCACGGUAACACACCCCCAGGGAGUCACCCUGGCUCCUUAAUCAGGGUCACAUGGUUCUCUCUCCUGUGGGAAACCCCUUCAGGAGAGGAUUCGAGCUUGGGAGCGCAGGCUGGAAUCCACUUACUGUUCUUUCUCAUGCCUAAGCCAGGCCACUCUGGCCAUAUUUCAGUGUGUUCAAUUCAGAUCACAUUUGAGCCUCCAGAAGGGACACCUAAUCAACACCACUGUUUUCUCUUUUUUUUUUUUUUUUUAAUUUUUUUUUCAACGUUUAUUUAUUUUUGGGACAGAGAGAGACAGAGCAUGAACGGGGGAGGGGCAGAGAGAGAGGGAGACACAGAAUCGGAAACAGGCUCCAGGCUCUGA
rnacentral:lncRNA from 1 species